rnacentral:rRNA from 1 species
UACGAAGGGGGCUAGCGUUGCUCGGAAUUACUGGCGUAAAGCGCACGUAGGCGGCUUGUUAAGUCAGGGGUGAAAUCCUGGGAGCUCAACUCCAGAACUGCCUUUGAUACUGGCGAGCUUGAGUUCGGGAGAGGUGAGUGGAACUGCGAGUGUAGAGGUGAAAUUCGUAGAUAUUCGCAAGAACACCAGUGGCGAAGGCGGCUCACUGGCCCGAUACUGACGCUGAGGUGCGAAAGCGUGGGGAGCAAACAGG